rnacentral:rRNA from 1 species
CCUACGGGAGGCAGCAGUGAGGAAUAUUGGUCAAUGGGCGAGAGCCUGAACCAGCCAAGUCGCGUGAGGGAAGACGGUCCUACGGAUUGUAAACCUCUUUUGUCGGGGAGCAAAAGACGCCACGCGUGGCGUUCCGAGAGUACCCGAAGAAAAAGCAUCGGCUAACUCCGUGCCAGCAGCCGCGGUAAUACGGGGGAUGCGAGCGUUAUCCGGAUUUAUUGGGUUUUACGGGUGCGCAGGCGGAAGAUCAAGUCAGCGGUAAAAUUGAGAGGCUCAACCGCGUCGAGCAGGUGAAACUGGUUGUCUUGAGUGAGUGAGAGGGAUGCGGAAUGCGUGGUGUAGCGGUGAAAGGCAUAGAUAUCACGCAGAACUCCGAUUGCGAAGGCAGCAUACCGGCGCUCAACUGACGCUCAUGCACGAAAGUGUGGGUAUCGAACAGGAUUAGAUACCCCGGUAGUC